rnacentral:lncRNA from 1 species
AUGCAAGGAAAAAAUUAUGUAAAAUCUAUAACACUCAGAAUCUGUUAAAUACAGGAUAUUUAAGAAUUGACAAUAAUCCUCAUCCUACUGUUUUUUAUUUCUCAGCAAGUGCAAUGAAUGUUGGCAUUGUUUCUCAGACUUUGGUAUGACAGUAAACUAUAAAAGUAUUUAUUUGACACUAAUUAUAAUUAAGGCAUAGUGAGAUAAUCAAUUGAUGCAGUCUAUAAUUCCCUAUUCUUAAUUUUACAAAAUAAAAAUUCACAGCGAUGGGAGACCUGGUCCAGCCCUGUCCAUUGUGACCCACACCUCCUCAGGACUGAGCAGAAAGAGCUGCUGCAAUUGCCUGGUGUUAUUAAGACAAUAUGUCUACAGAUUUCAAAAUAAUCCAUUGACUAGAAAAAUUUGCAUCACUAUGGCUUCAAUAGACAAAGUAUUCAAGACAGUGCUUGGAAUUAGUAGCUUUCAUUUAUCCUGCCUACAGGAAGAGGAAGACAAGUUUUAAAUGACAGCUCUUAAAGAUGGUGGCGGAGUCCCAGGAAUGAUGUUGAGAAUCAGGCUGCAUUUCUGAGAAAGCACUCAGAGCUCUUUGCUCUUGUAUACUGCCAAUGUGGAAUCACUUCUAAAUUUGCCUUAAUCCAACUCCUAGGAAAAGGAAGUUUUACCUGCCACAAUGCUCCACACAAAGAAAACCGAAAACAGUUUGACUAUCAUUCCUGAAGUGCCAGAGUUUGAGCAAACAUCACAUAAGUGGUAAGUUCUCAAAGAAGUGGAGAUCUUUUUCCCUUUAUACUCACUAUAAUGACCUGUCUUUAAUGCUGGACCGUCUUACUAGGGUGGAAAAAUGUUAAACUGAUUUAUUGUUAUGCCAGCAGAAAACUGCCCUUUUAAUUCAUAGUAAAACAUUUUUCUGUGUCCUAAUAACUGACUGAAGGGAGGGAUUCAGUGAAUGAAGGGAAGAAAAUAUGCACACACUAAGAUAACAACAAGGCUCUAAAACGUAGUAGUACACAAAUAUGCCAAGUAUGUGGGAAACUUUAUAAGGGAUGCUACAUGACCAUAACUGAUAAGGAAGAAAAUAAGAGUCAGUAGUUAUGAGUCACUCUGGGUAAGGUUGGCAGACACAGAGCUUGUUUACCAUCUCCCUGCCCCAGGAAAAUCAGACCAACCCAGCAUUUUUUGGUCCAGUCCCAUUCUACUCCUGUGUGUAAACCCAGUUAAUCACUAAGAGGUCAACCACUUCAGUUUGUAUUUUUUAAUAAAAGGCCUAUUUUUCUUCCCUAUAUCAUUCUCCUUAAGGAUUAAACCUGACAUUUCAAGAUGCCAAAAGGUUGUUAU